UCCCAUGUGACUCAGUUGGUAGAGCAUGGCACUUGUAAUGCCAGGGGUUGUGGGUUCGAUUCCCACGGGAG
rfam:Salmo salar isolate Sally breed double haploid chromosome ssa08, whole genome shotgun sequence.